CAGACCCUUCCAGUAGGCCUCUUUCUCCCAUGCCCCAGGCUUCCACAUCACACCCCGACCCCUACCAACACUGCCAUGAACUGGGAGGCCAGGAGGAGCAUCCUUUUUAUUUAUCCUUGAUAUUGGUUAUUGUGCAAUAGGAUUACCACGUGACCGGCACUGUGCUCAAGACUAGAGGCUCUGAUCUGUGCUCGGAGAGAUGGCCACCAGGGAACCCAUCCACCUGGAAGAGCUAAUAUAAGCCCAAGACCCAACACAGCCCUCCUGCCUGCUCUGUGCUCUGCCAUUAAAAACCCAAAAGGCUGUGGUCUGUGAGUUGCCGUGAGGAAGCAAAUGGUUGUUUACCAGUCCCUGGAAAAGAGUGAGCGUCACAAUCCCUCACACAGGAUGAGCCAUGGAAACACGUGGAAAGUAAAAACUCAGGAUGGUCUGAACACGGCGAUGAUGGAGCAUCAGAGCAGACAGCUGCAGGAGCCACCUGCCCACGCGGCCCGUCAGGACACAGAGGCAGGGCCUCACAGAAAGGAAGCAGGUAUCAUUUCCAGCCGGUGCUGACUGAACAAGACAAUAAAUGGAAGCUGCUCUAUAUUGGGUCAUAAAUCUGAGCUGGCCAA